GAUGAACGCUGGCGGCGUGCCUAAUACAUGCAAGUCGAGCGAACAGACGAGGAGCUUGCUCCUCUGACGUUAGCGGCGGACGGGUGAGUAACACGUGGAUAACCUACCUAUAAGACUGGGAUAACUUCGGGAAACCGGAGCUAAUACCGGAUAAUAUAUUGAACCGCAUGGUUCAAUAGUGAAAGACGGUUUUGCUGUCACUUAUAGAUGGAUCCGCGCCGCAUUAGCUAGUUGGUAAGGUAACGGCUUACCAAGGCAACGAUGCGUAGCCGACCUGAGAGAGGGAUCGGCCACACUGGAACUGAGACACGGUCCAGACUCCUACGGGAGGCAGCAGUAGGGAAUCUUCCGCAGUAGGCGAAAGCUUGGCGGAGCAACGCGGCGUGAGUGAUGAAGGUCUUCGGAUCGUAAAACUCUGUUAUUAGGUAAGAACAAAUGUGUAAGUAGCUAUGCACGUCUUGACGGUACCUGAUCAGAAAGCCACGGCUAACUACGUG
rnacentral:rRNA from 1 species